GGGAGACACCCAGGGGCCUGGCCCGCCAGCCCAAAAGAUGGUCAUCGGGAAGAGAAAAAGAAAAAAAUGCUGCAGUUGUUCUCUCAAGCUAGGGCAGAAGAGGGGUGUCAAGCUCCUCAAUAAACUUGUCUCCACUUCUUCGAGUGCAGUGUGGUCUUCACCAGGACCCCCAGAACACCACAAACCUGGAGAGCCCAGAGGCUGCCAGACCCUGCUGCAUGGGAAGGACAUCUCCAGGGACAUGGGAGAGAGGACAGCCUCUCUGAGGAGGAAGGCCCCUAAAAGGCAAAGCUAAGGCCACAGCAGCAACAAGAACCUCAGCGCAGAGCCCUGCCCACAGCAGGUGCCCAGUGAAUACCUGAUGACAAAAGGAAUCAGAGGAAAAUACAAAUCAGACAGAAAAGCUGUGGAAAAUGCAGAUACUCCCUCAGGAACAGCAGAAAUCCAAAGCAGACACCACCUCCACCCCUCACAUCAGCCAGACCUGGAGAGAACGAUCAUCUUGAAUGACAAUGAUGAACACAGCGCUCCCUAUUUUGCUAAGCGCUGUGCUAAACUAUAUGCCUUAACUCAUCUUAAUGUCUACAACAGCUUAUAUGAGGGCUUUAAACCAAGGCUUGGUAAACUACUGCCCAUGGGCCAAACCUGGCCCAUCAUCUAGUUCUGUAUAGCCCACAAGCCAAGAAUGGUUUUUACAUUUUUAAGUGGUUGAAAAAAAAUCAAAAGAAUAUUUUGAGACUGUGAAAACUGUAUGAAAUUCAAAUUCCAAUAUCCACAAAUAAAGUUUUAUUGGAACGGG
rnacentral:sRNA from 1 species